rnacentral:pre_miRNA from 1 species
GCUGUCUGGUUGCGGCUGGUGAAAAGGAACCACAUCAACCCAGCAAAAGGAUUUGGUCCCCUUCAACCAGCCGCAACUGGCCAGGAUU